GUUCUUGUCACAAUAGGAACCAGGCUAACAGGCUUCUCCCAUAAUGGGAAAUGGCAGAAACAAAGACAUGACAGAUGGAGAGAGGUUCAAAAAUACAACAGUGGGAUCACAACAUCCCUUAAUUUAAACCCUGGUAGGGUACUGCAAGAUAUUAUUGUGCUCAGCUGGCUCUACCUUAGUAGUGUCUACCUAACUGAAGACAGCACUACAACCCUUGAGACGGUGAUUUCUCCAAUGGCAGCUUUAUGAAGCUUCGGUAGUGGGUAGCUUCUGCACUACAGAUGCUGCACCGCACCAACAAAAGGUUCCCUAUAAGGACUUUUGUUGUCUAAACAUAGAAAGGCUUUGUCUGAAAAUGAAGCAAGAAAGGCAGAGAACAACUUGGCCAGUAGCACAAGGGCAAGGCACCUCCACAAAAACAGAAUACAGGGAAAUGAACAAGAGAGGUACUUAGCUAUUAAAAGCGUGUCAAAGCCUCUGCUGGAAAAGUUGCCAAGUAUUCCUCUUGACCUCCAAAACUGAAAUAAGGACAUGGAAGUAAUAGAAUUCAAACUUCUGUAUUCUCUGGCUGCUGGAGUAUAAUAUCACCUAUAACUCAAGGACACUGUAAGGAGGAAUGCUGUCUACAGACUCACAGACACUAUCGAUGUUCUUAUGUUCUGGCCAAUGCUACUUCGUUAGCUAAAUUCUGUCUUUACAAUGGGAUUCUUCUUUUUGUAACUUUCUUAUUAUGGGAAAUUUCAAACAUAUAGAAAAGCAGUCAGAAUAGUACAAUGAAGAGCUAUGUUUUCCUUUAUCAGCUUCAACAAAUUUCAACUCAUGGUCAAGCUUAUCUUAUCUUUAUCCUCACUACUUCUCCCUUCCUGUAUUAUUUUGACUCCAGUCUCAGAUGUUAUACCAUUUCAUCUGUAACUAUUUGAAUAUGUAUUCCUAAAAGAGAAGAACUUAGAAAUGACAUAACAACAAUACCAUGGUCACACGUAUUUAAUAAAAUUAACACGAAUUUCAAAUGUCUCAUAUUUUAUACAGUUUGUUUGAGUUAAGGUGCAAAUAAGGUCUGCAUAUUAC